CAGGGACGUCACAGCCUGCACACACAUCCUCCUGGAGACAGGGGGGCCUUGGGGCUGUUUCUGAAGUUGGCAACCGUGUCCUGCACCUGGAAGGAGGGUGGGGGAGCCACAGGCAGGGAACAGAAUAUGCAUUCUCAGAAAAGGUGAGCAGAUAAAGCCAAAGUCAGGCCCAACUUUGCAGAGUGACAUGAUGGAGAUUCACUGGGCUGAAAGUUAAUUUAGAGGUCUUUGCUACAGCAACAGUGGAUGGGCUCUCUCACCGUUCCACGUCUCCACGUCGGGACACAGCCCCCUCUGGAAGCAGAGAGCAGCCCCCAGCAGACCUGAACCUGCCGUCGCCUCCAUCUUGGACUUCCAGUUCCAAAACUGGGGGAAAUGAAUUUCUGUUCUUCAUAAGUCGUCCAAUCUCAGGUGUCUCGUUGCAGCUACACAGACCGAAGCAGUGCUACCUCCACUCAUGAACUUGAUUCUUUCCACGAUUCUGGUUGUGAACUGAGUUGGAUGGUUAGGGUCAAUGUUGACCUUAUGGAGAAAUUGGAUUCAGCUGUUGUCCAGUUCAGAAUCGUGCCACGAAAAUCAUGGAGAGAGGAGCUCGUGAAUCAUGGUGCCACUCCAUUCUCAUAUGCAAACUCUGCUGGUCUCCGGAGCAGCUGCCCCUGCGCGUUUGUGAAGCCUGUGACCGGCCUGCUCAGGCGGGGGCCGCGCCCUCUGGCGGCGCCCAGAGUCAUUUCAAGUGGUACCAUUUCCAAGGGCAGCCAACAGAUCAAGGUGAAAGGUGGCCAUCUGUGAUGUGUUCAAGAAUUCAGACACACCGAGUCACCAUGCAGGGUGAUCUCCUGCACCUACUACAGCCUCACAUCCGAGUCCAGUACCAUUUGGAACCCAGGGUCUCAGUCGGAUCAGUUCAGAUGACCAAGGAUAUCUGCUAAGGGCAGUAGGGUCCCACACAGCUCUGUAAUUCCCUCUUAGCUACCUGCGUGGAAACGGAAUCUCCAGGUGGAUGUUGUAUUUCGCCAGCAAGAGCCUUUCCCAUUGUGCUUCAUGUGUCCUUUUCUUGCUUAACCAUGAACAUGCACUGUUAUAUCGUUUAACAAUUCAUAAAUAUAAGAAUUCAGUUACUGUGUUAAAAGCAUGAAACAAAACCAGGAUGGUGAACCUCAUCUCUUGCUCCUGCUACAAAGGACAACU